rnacentral:rRNA from 1 species
AAAUUGAAGAGUUUGAUCAUGGCUCAGAUUGAACGCUGGCGGCAGGCCUAACACAUGCAAGUCGAACGGUAACAGGAAACAGCUUGCUGUUUCGCUGACGAGUGGCGGACGGGUGAGUAAUGUCUGGGAAACUGCCUGAUGGAGGGGGAUAACUACUGGAAACGGUAGCUAAUACCGCAUAAUGUCGCAAGACCAAAGAGGGGGACCUUCGGGCCUCUUGCCAUCGGAUGUGCCCAGAUGG